GAGGUUUUGUUAUUGGGAAUGCGAAAGGGCGCAUUUACUGCUUUGAUUUUUACGAGGGAGUGUAAGGACCAUUGGAUCAAAGCGUCUCUUCACUCCCCUGGCUUGAUCUAUAUAAUAGAGGAGAGUGAACCUCAUUCUUACUUUUCACUCUCUCUCUUCAAUUGUGAAUUCUCUGAAGUUUCAACUUACUAGUCAAAUCGUUCCCCAGAUUUCAUUCGUAUUCAAGGUAAUUCUUUCAAAUUUUC
rnacentral:lncRNA from 1 species